GUGUCACUGCGGCAGCACAUGUACUAAAAUUGGAACGAUACAGAGAAGAUUAGCAUGACCCUGUGCAAGGAUGACAUGUAAAUUCAUGAAGCGCUCCAUAUUAAA